GAUGAAGAACGUAGCGAAAUGCGAUAAGUAAUGUGAAUUGCAGAAUUCAGUGAAUCAUCGAAUCUUUGAACGCACAUUGCGCCCGCUAGUAUUCUGGCGGGCAUGCCUGUCCGAGCGUCAUUUCAACCCUCAAGCCCCCGGGCUUGGUGUUGGGGAUCGGCGAGCCUCCGCGCCCGCCGUCCCCUAAAUCUAGUGGCGGUCUCGCUGUAGCUUCCUCUGCGUAGUAGCACACCUCGCACUGGGGAAACAGCGCGGCCACGCCGUUAAACCCCCAACUUCUGAACGUUUGACCUCGGAUCAGGUAGGAAUACCCGCUGAACUUAAGCAUAUCAAUAAGCGGAGGA
rnacentral:misc_RNA from 1 species